rnacentral:rRNA from 1 species
AGCGAACGCUGGCGGCAGGCCUAACACAUGCCAGUCGAACGAACCUUUCGGGGUUAGUGGCGGACGGGUGAGUAACACGUGGGAACGUGCCUUUAGGUUCGGAAUAACUCAGGGAAACUUGUGCUAAUGCCGAAUGUGCCCUUCGGGGGAAAGAUUAAUCGCCUUUAGAGCGGCCCGCGUCUGAUUAGCUAGUUGGUUGAGGUAAUGGCUCACCAAGGCGACGAUCAGUAGCUGGUCUGAGAGGAUUAUCAGCCACAUUGGGACUGAGACACGGCCCAAACUCCUACGGGAGGCAGCAGUGGGGAAUCUUGCGCAAUGGGCGAAAGCCUGACGCAGCCAUGCCGCGUGAAUGAUGAAGGUCUUAGGAUUGUAAAAUUCUUUCACCGGGGACGAUAAUGACGGUACCCGGAGAAGAAGCCCCGGCUAACUUCGUG